ACAACCCCAAGGCUUUCUCUUUUCCCUUCCCCUUUCCCCAUACAGCAAACCCUAGCAUCGCCAGGCUUCGAGCCUUCUCUCUCAUGCUAGAAAUGGAAAAGUUGCAGAGAGUACAAAGCUUUGCACCCUUCACACACCCAUUUUACGUGAUAAGCAUUAAUGAUGCAACCCCAGUUUCGUCUUCUUCCUCCCAAACAUGUUAUGUUUGCAUUUUUCGGUAUCCUGGGUUGCAGGCUAAACUGUUCAAUGGUAUUUGGUUCUAACUAUGCACUUGUGCUUGAUUGUGGUAAUGUUGAAGACCAUUUGGGGUUGGUCAAACCUUCCCCCAGUGGCAGCCAUGUCUGGGGUUCGAUGAAACCCCUUGAAUCUUGUGCGACACUGGGAAUAAGGAUGGUGGAAACAACCCUAAUCUUAUUCCAAAAUACUCAGCCCACAUAUCACUAAAAAGCACUAUGAGAAAAAAUAUCAUGUUAGAGCAGUUUGGUUACUUCUAUUUUAAUAUUAUUACUACACGUGUAUAUCUUCUAUGUAUAUUAUGUGAAUUUUAUAGCAUCCGGUCUAACCAAUUUCCUUUUCUUU